AUAAUCAUGGUUUAAAUUUAAGCCAUGAAGACGUAUGAACAUAAUAUUAUUUUGUUGUUCGCCGACUUGAAUCAUUCGAUUUCGAUUAGGUAUUUGAAAUUUGAACGGAAAUACAGACUAUACAUUCGUACAGUGUUGCUUAAUGUUUUAAUAAAUAAUUGCCAUGCAUAAGUGUAUUCUUUUUAGUAAAACGUCCAAAGUAUCGACUCGCCACUCGCCAGUCGCCACAUUACCUUAAUUUUUAUUUGUAACUUUAUUUCCAAAAAAUGAAAACAGAAGGAAAUAAUGGCUAAAAAUCUUCAAAUUAAAUGAUUACCCAAUUUCUAUCUGGAGCAGAAUCUGUGGUAAUCAUUUCACAAUCAGUAAUUAUAAGCACGGUUCAGUAUAUAGUAGAUAAUAUGGCCAGAGGCUGUCACAUAACAUGAUCCUAGCCACUUCUCUGGGAUAUAGAAGUAAAAUAAACAAUAUAAAAUACAUUUUAAUAAUUUACAGCAACACUGGUACUACUCUGAGCUCGACUAGUAAAUCAUCUAAGAGAAAAUUAUAUUUCUCCAACGAUGAGUUUGAAGAAAAUGAACAGACAAAUAAAGGAUUUGGAGAUGUUACAGUUGAUGAUUUUAACUCGCCCAGAAAAUCCUUAGAAAUUUAAUAAUGUGUAAUUCACACAUACUUAUAUGUUGAUUUUCUUGAAGAUAAUUCUGGCGGCUCAGAUGAAACAAAAAAUAUUGGUGCGAAUUAUGAAACUUAAAGGCAAUACAAUUUUGCUGAGCAAGAAUCCAAUUUCAAUAACACAGAGGGACUCAACAUAUUUAAAUUGCAAAGUAACACAUAACUAGUUUGGACUUCAGUAUAUUUUCUGAAAGGAGAGUGAAUCUAGUUGGAUGACAUGUAAAAAUUGAAAAUUUUUAGGUGUAAGAUAGUGUGAGAGAUGGAAUUUGUAGAGUCCUCUUAAGUGUGCAUGUAAAAGAUAUGUUAAGAUAAGUUUAUGCACAUAUUGUUAACAAAUAAUCAAUGUUAAUAUUCAAAUAAUAAAAUCUUUUGUAGUAAAAUGAGGAGAUUCAAUAAAUAUCCUUUUGCGAUAUUGAAUUGGUUGGAUAAUCCAAUGUCCGAAGACACAGAUUACAAAUUGAUUUUAGAACUCAUAUAUUACAUUUGUAAUAAUAAAGAUGAUGGUCGAAUACUUGUGUUUAUUUUUGGAUGGCACCAAUAUCAAAACUGACUAAAAUUUUAAAAGAUAAAGGCUUUGGAAAUACAUCUCGGUAUUUACUGAUUCCUUUGCAUUCCAUGUUACCUACUGUAUCUU